rnacentral:other from 1 species
AAAUGCCUGCGGUGUUCGUGAUACAAAUAUAAUUUUUUUAUUGAAUAUUUUAUCUGAAGGGACCUUAAGGAUUUUUCUGUUUAUAAGUACCUUUUAAAUAAGGAAUUAUCUAAUAGAAGUGAAGGGACCCACUUUGAAAAAAGGGAUAGAAAAAACUGAGUACACGGCACAGGCGGGUUAUUU